AGGUAAGUAAAAGAGUGCAACUGGCGAUGAGCCGUAAUCAGUUUAAAAUAAAACCUGAUUUUUGGGGGUGCACUUUUCAAUUAUGACAGCACCACGCACGAGGUAAUGGCGCCCUCCCCCCUAACGACAGAGACGAGUACUGACAUUAAAAGACAAAGUUCAAUUAAUCGAUGAAUUCGAUACAUUCUUGGAAUAAAACAAAAUCGUCAACAAUCCAGUUAUGUUUUCCAAAAGCAGGGUUUCCCCUUGUGGAAUUAUCGGAGCUCUCCGGCGAGUCAGACAGUGAUGAUAUGCAGUUAGUUAGCACAACUCGCCAUGCCCGGUCGAUCAUUCGGCAUUACAUCAGUUUCCGUUUCACAAAUUGAGACAGUUGAAAGUGAUACAUUUACGCCGAAAGCUGCAAAAGACAAAGAACAUGACCCGCGAACCAUGAAAAAUGGCCUAGCCCGGGAUAUUGAUAAUUUCUGUAUAUAAUAAUCUUCGGGAUAUAGGCUUUCUAGAAAUGUUUUUUUUUUUUUUUUUUUUAAUAUAUUCUAUACUUUUUUGUUAAUAUGACGUUGAAUAUUGUGGUGUUUAAUGUUAAAAAAUUAACAUUUCGGGAUACACGUCACAACAAUAAACCUCCAAUGACCAUGUACAAUGUACAUGAACCUAUAAAUCUCUGAAGUUAUAUGCACUCAAAUAGCUAGAAUGGCUUAUUCAAUGAUCAUAAUAAGCAUUUUUGACCAAAUUUGGGAAAUAGAAAUAAGAAAUAUUUUGGAAAUGAUGUUCAAAGCCGUGAUUGUUCAACUUUACUUUUGAAUUAUUUUUACUUGAAUUUUAAAAUACUGAAGUAAGAAGAAUAAAUAUAGUAUGUAGUCUAUUUACAUGGUGAAAGGAGUGAAUCAUUGGAACAAUUCUGUUUCAUAUCAUAUUUCAUAGUUUUUUAAUAUUUUUUUUGUUCGUAUUAAAACGACCGAGUAUCGAUAUCAAUGGUAACGAAAUAAGUUGACACCGCGUCUCGUCAAAACAUGUUCAAUUCGAAUUUACUCGGAAUUACACCUUCAACGAGCAUUUCCUGUGAAACCUGAUUAAAGAAAAAUUACUGUAGACACCUAAUAGUGAUUUGUACAGAAGCGAGCCCCGGCAGGAAUGAUGGCCUCUUUUGAAAUGCAGAUUUCAUGCCUUACUCCUACUGGGACUACAACUAACUUUGGACCUGGUCACUCGCAGAUACAGCAUGAAGUGUGCCCUCUUGAUGUACAUGGGAAUGGGAGUGAUACAGAAGGGGGACUAAUUGGAAGAACUGCUGCUGCUGGUGGUGGUGCUGGACUGUCUUGAAUCUGUGGCCUAACCGAGUUGAUAUUCUUCUGUUUAAUAUGGGAGCAACACACACACUAUGGCAUCUAUUGCACAGAAAAUCAUGAUCAGAUGGUGCCCUCCCUAUCAGAGUGGUGAUCACUGUCCUAUAUUUCUUUGAAAUCCUGGAUCUGUGUUUUGGUUUUACUCUCCAUGGACAAUUGAAACAGAGAAAGAAUUUGGGACCAUUCCUUGGCAUAUCUAAAAUAUUUAUGUCAUAUACAUGUAAUUGAAAUUAUACAAUUUGGGUUGGAUGAAAAUCUUAUCUUCAUGUUAAAACCCAUUAGCCUAGGUUAUUUUUCCUAAAAUCUAAUUAUAAAUCAAUUAACUUGUUAAUUAAUGCUUGGUGAAUCAAUUAAUAAAUUGUAUUCAAAAACUUGGAAUUAUUUUUUUCCACUAAUAAACUGAAAAUGUGUAUCUUCAAA